rnacentral:rRNA from 1 species
UACAGAGGUCUCAAGCGUUGUUCGGAUUCAUUGGGCGUAAAGGGUGCGUAGGCGGCCAGCGCAAGUCAGUUGUGAAAUCUCCGGGCUUAACUCGGAAAGGUCAACUGAUACUGCGCGGCUAGAGUGCAGAAGGGGCAACUGGAAUUCUCGGUGUAGCGGUGAAAUGCGUAGAUAUCGAGAGGAACACCUGCGGCGAAGGCGGGUUGCUGGGCUGACACUGACGCUGAUGCGCGAAAGCCAGGGGAGCGAACGGG